AAAAAGAUAAGCUAACUAAGCUAGUGGGCUCAUACCCCGCCUAUGGGAACUCCAAUUUCUCUCUUUUUA
rnacentral:tRNA from 1 species